CAAUAGCGAUGUCCUCAACGAAGGACAAUGUCAUUAUCAACGAGUUUGUGAACCUUUAAUUAUAAACUAUUGAAUACUGAAACGAGUUACUAGGUGAUUUUUUUUCAAUCUCGAAUCAAAUAAACCGGAACCAUUUUUUGAUGUUGAUAAUAUGUUAUCGUGAGCAUUUAGAAAAAAAAUCGUGUUUCAGAUAGGUAGAUCCUGUGUAAUAAUUUCAACGAUGAAUGCAGAUUCACUAGAUAUUUUGCCACAUCAUAAGCAAAUAGAGAUUCCUUGUACGAGUAGUUAAUUAUUAGAAAAGAAAUAUAAGAUGAUCCUGUCCGUGAAAUCCCCAGUAAAAUUUCAUGAAAAAUACGACAGAUAUACCCAAUGCUGUAAAUUUAGCAGCAUUUUUCUUCUGUCACGUUUUUUUCAGAACAAAAUAAUCCAUCAAACGAUCGCGUGGAUUUCACAAUGAAUCAUACUCAAACUCCCAUCAACCAGUUAAUUCUCGUAAAUUCGCAACAAACGUCGCCUGAAUCCAAAUCGAUCGAAGAACCAGUUGCUGUAAAAAUUUCCAGCAUAUGCUACAUACAAUUCUCUGUAUUCAUACGCGAACCUCUCAACAUGCCUACGCAGCAGUCGUCUUAAUGAACGAAAUUUUCUAAUCAUUAUAAUUAUACUCUACAUUCGGACAAAAGCAUAUAAAUUCGAAAAAGCUUCAAAUUUAUAACGGGUUUGUUUUAGUUACACAAAGCCCAUAAUUACACCGCAAUAUAUAGCUUCUCGCGCUUAUGUGCAAGUGAAAAAUUUCACACAGCAGCGUUUAUCGAAAUACGAUAAGCUAUGCAAUUAAAUGUCUGCUCGCUUCAAUUGAGUGUUAAUAAUUACUCAUUAUCUAUAUUUUACGUUUACGC